rnacentral:rRNA from 1 species
GCAGUCGCCGCGGUAAUACGUAGGGUGCAAGCGUUAAUCGGAAUUACUGGGCGUAAAGCGUGCGCAGGCGGCUUUGCAAGACAGAUGUGAAAUCCCCGGGCUCAACCUGGGAACUGCAUUUGUGACUGCAUGGCUAGAGUACGGUAGAGGGGGAUGGAAUUCCGCGUGUAGCAGUGAAAUGCGUAGAUAUGCGGAGGAACACCGAUGGCGAAGGCAAUCCCCUGGACCUGUACUGACGCUCAUGCACGAAAGCGUGGGGAGCAAACAGGAUUAGAUACCCCUGUAGUCCCUGUCUCUUAUAC